rnacentral:lncRNA from 1 species
GGGAGGUGAAUUAUAGGGCUAGUGUGUUUCUAAGAAAAGAUUGCUUUAAUAUUUAUUAAUUGUUUAAUUAUUUAUGUACCUAAAAUAUUUUAUUAUUAAAAAAAAAAGAAAAUUGACUAAUUAGUAAAAGGAGACCUAAAAAGUUUUUGAUUAUUAUACUUACUAGAGUUUUACAACUAUAUGCCUACAUACUCUCACUUUUAAUGAAGGAUCAAAGUCUCGUAGUUAUGGUAAAGAAUAUUUGUUUAUUUGUUGUUUUUAUCC